UUAAAGAUUAAAAUUUUUUGGUAUUUUUUAAAUUCUUUUCUGGUUUGGUUGUUUUUAUUAUACUUUUUGGU
rnacentral:tRNA from 1 species